rnacentral:rRNA from 1 species
GUUAGGAAUAUUGGACAAUGGGCGAAAGCCUGAUCCAGCCAUGCCGCGUGUGUGAAGAAGGUCUUCGGAUUGUAAAGCACUUUAAGUUGGGAGGAAGGGCAGUAAGUUAAUACCUUGCUGUUUUGACGUUACCGACAGAAUAAGCACCGGCUAACUUCGUGCCAGCAGCCGCGGUAAUACGAAGGGUGCAAGCGUUAAUCGGAAUUACUGGGCGUAAAGCGCGCGUAGGUGGUUUUGUAAGUUGGAGGUGAAAUCCCCGGGCUCAACCUGGGAACUGCCUCCAAAACUGCAUGACUAGAGUACGGUAGAGGGUAGUGGAAUUUCCUGUGUAGCGGUGAAAUGCGUAGAUAUAGGAAGGAACACCAGUGGCGAAGGCGACUACCUGGACUGAUACUGACACUGAGGUGCGAAAGCGUGGGGAGCAAACAGGAUUAGAAACCCGUGUAGUCC